UACGGAGGAUGCAAGCGUUAUCCGGAAUGAUUGGGCGUAAAGCGCGUGUAGGCGGUCCGGUAAGUCCGCUGUGAAAGUCGAGGGCUCAACCCUCGAAUGCCGGUGGAUACUGUCGGGCUUGAGUACGGGAGAGGCGAGUGGAAUUCCUGGUGUAGCGGUGAAAUGCGCAGAUAUCAGGAGGAACACCGAUUGCGAAGGCAGCUCGCUGGAACGUUACUGACGCUGAGACGCGAAAGCGUGGGGAGCAAACAGG
rnacentral:rRNA from 1 species